rnacentral:misc_RNA from 1 species
AAAUGCGAUAAGUAGUGUGAAUUGCAGAAUUCAGUGAAUCAUCGAAUCUUUGAACGCACAUUGCGCCCUUUGGUAUUCCAAAGGGCAUGCCUGUUCGAGCGUCAUUUGUACCCUCAAGCGUUGCUUGGUGUUGGGCGUCUUGUCUCUAGCUUUGCUGGAGACUCGCCUUAAAGUAAUUGGCAGCCGGCCUACUGGUUUCGGAGCGCAGCACAAGUCGCACUCUCUAUCAGCAAAGGUCUAGCAUCCAUUAAGCCUUUUUUUCAACUUUUGACCUCGGAUCAGGUAGGGAUACCCGCUGAACUUAAGC